UAAGGAAUAUUGGUCAAUGGGGGCAACCCUGAACCAGCCAUGCCGCGUGCAGGAUGAAGGCCCUAUGGGUCGUAAACUGCUUUUAUACCGGAGAAAACCCGAGUACGUGUACUCGGUUGAUGGUAUGGUAAGAAUAAGCAUCGGCUAACUUCGUGCCAGCAGCCGCGGUAAGACGAAGGAUGCAAGCGUUAUCCGGAUUCAUUGGGUUUAAAGGGUGCGUAGGCGGACUUGUAAGUCAGUGGUGAAAUCCCCGAGCUUAACUUGGGAACUGCCGUUGAUACUAUCUGUCUUGAAUACUAUGGAGGUAAGCGGAAUAUGUCAUGUAGCGGUGAAAUGCUUAGAUAUGACAUAGAACACCAAUUGCGAAGGCAGCUUGCUACACAGUUAUUGACGCUGAGGCACGAAAGCGUGGGGAUCAAACAGGAUUAGAUACCCUCGUAGUCCCUGAGCGGGCUGGCAAGGCGCAU
rnacentral:rRNA from 1 species